rnacentral:rRNA from 1 species
GACGAACCGUGCAAACGUUGUUCGGAAUCACUGGGCUUAAAGGGCGCGUAGGCGGGCAAGCAAGUCGAAGGUGAAAUCCCACGGCUCAACCGUGGAAGUGCCCCCGAUACUGCUUGUCUUGAGGGAGAUAGGGGCGUGCGGAACUUCCGGUGGAGCGGUGAAAUGCGUAGAUAUCGGAAGGAACACCGGUGGCGAAGGCGGCAUCCUGGACCAACACUGACGCUGAGGAGCGAAAGCCAGGGGAGCAAACGGG